rnacentral:rRNA from 1 species
AGCGAACGCUGGCGGCGUGCCUAACACAUGCAAGUCGAACGUGAAAGGGAGCAAUCCUGAGUAAAGUGGCGUACGGGUGAGUAACGCGUAGGUAAUCUACCCUAGAGUCCGGAAUAACCUGCCGAAAGGCGGGCUAAUACUGGAUAGAGCGAUGAGGUCCGUAAUAGGAUCUUUCGGGAAAGGGAGGAAGCAAUUCCCUUUGCUCUAGGAUGAGCCUGCGUCUCAUUAGCUAGUUGGUGGGGUAAUGGCC